UACGUAGGUGGCAAGCGUUAUCCGGAUUUACUGGGUGUAAAGGGCGUGUAGGCGGGUUUGCAGUUGGAUGUGAAAUCCUCAGGCUUAACCUGAGAGGGUCAUCCAAAACUGCAGAUCUUGAGUACUGGAGAGGAUAGUGGAAUUCCUAGUGUAGCGGUAAAAUGCGUAGAUAUUAGGAGGAACACCAGUGGCGAAGGCGACUAUCUGGACAGUAACUGACGCUGAGGCGCGAAAGCGUGGGGAGCAAACAGGGAUUAGAUACCCCGGUA
rnacentral:rRNA from 1 species